rnacentral:tRNA from 1 species
GGUGGCGUAGCUCAGAUGGCAGAGCAGCGAGCUCAUAAUUCGCGGGUCAUUGGUCCGAGUCCAAUCGCCACCA